UACGUAGGGGGCAAGCGUUGUCCGGAAUCAUUGGGCGUAAAGCGCGUGUAGGCGGUCCGGUAAGUCCGCUGUGAAAGUCGGGGGGUCAACCCUCGGAUGCCGGUGGAUACUGUCGGGCUUGAGUACGGAAGAGGCGAGUGGAAUUCCUGGUGUAGCGGUGAAAAUGCGCAGAUAUCAGGAGGAACACCAAUUGCGAAGGCAGCUCGCUGGGACGUUACUGACGCUGAGACGCGAAAGCGUGGGGAGCAAACAGG
rnacentral:rRNA from 1 species